rnacentral:misc_RNA from 1 species
AUCAAACUAUUCCAGCUAAGAGGUUGAGUGAUACUUCAAACACUCACAUAACCCCGCAUUCGUUAUCGUCAUUUUCAUUUUGAAAGAUAAUAUUACUUUUAAUUGAUCUGAGAUGUUCGAUUGCAAAAAUGGACUUAAUUGAAGAGUUUUGCAUAUUUAUUAUUUAUAUAAUUCUGAACACAAUUGAAACAAUAUUCUCAAUUUUUAUAAAGAGUUCGCUUCGUUGCUAAUGAGUAAUGUCAUAAUGUAGUAAACAAAUUGCUGACGUACUCGUGACGCAAUGUUGUUCUUCUUCAUUCUAUUCCCCAUGCCCUACCUUCUUAAAGACCGUCCACUUCCAGAAUUUAAAAAAAUAUAUUACUAUUAGGAGUAAAACUAAAUCAUAUAUUUUAUUCUACUGUGAAAUGAAGUUCAAUCUUAUUAAGGAGAUUGGAGGUACUCGAUUGGGAUCUCUGGCUCUUGGAAGAGAAGAUUGGUGUACUCCUGCAUUUUUGACAUCAACGCCGAGUGGAUGCAUUCCAAAUCUUACGAGGGAAACCCUGGAAAUAAUGGGGGAUUCUAUUUUUCCGAUGGGGAUUCCUUAUAAUGCUAUUCUUCCGGAGGUUUUAGAGGCAUUUAAACGACCUAUGAAUGAAUUUAUGGGUCUUCCCGAGAACCCCUUCAUCCUUCUUCUUCAUGAAGGAUCUGAAGAACAAAAAUUGGGAUUCUUCAGCAAAGAGUCAAUUUCCGUUUGGUCUCCUACAGGAAAUCGACAUUCUGUCAAUUGUGAUGAUUACUUUCGUGUUAUCAAAGCAUGCCAGCCUCAUGCAUUUGUUGCACUCUCAGACUCAGAAACUCCCAAAGAUACUACGAAAAAACGACUCCUUAAAUCAAUGUCUAAGUCACUUAAAUUUCUUAAACAGAUUGUGUCCUAUGAUGGCCAAUUACCUCCGUUAUUAGUUCCACUUGGUGGUGGAUAUGACUCAAAUGUUCGAAAAGACUAUAAUGAGUCCGUUUUAGAAUUGGAUCAAAAUCAAAUAAGUGGAUAUGUUCUUGAAGGAUUCCACACUGGAGGCUUAACAUCAGCUAAAAAUGUAGCCCUUGAUGAGAUAGUGCCUCUUAUAAGAACUAGCUUAAAUAAACUUCCACAAAACAAGCCGCGAUUCAUAGUCGGAGCCUUUGAUCCAUGGAAGAUUUUAAAUCUUGUAGAAAAUGGGAUUGAUAUGUUUGAAUCUUCAUUUCCUCAUUUAAUGACGGAGAAAGGGCAAGUUCUUACGUUUGAUCCAAAUGGACACAACGUUUCGAAACAAGCUAUAGUGGAUCUCAAUGACGAAAUGUACAAGAAUUCUUUUGAACCUGUUUCUUCGGGCUGCUCUUGCUAUGUGUGUGAGCAUCACACCCAGGCCUAUGUGCAUCAUCUUCUCAUGACUAAUGAAUUGCUGGCCAAGGUAAUUCUAAUGAUGCAUAAUUUGCAUCAUUUUAGGACAUUUUUUAAAGCAAUAAGAAGAAGUAUCCAAGAGAAUCGAUUCCAGGAUUAUAAAAUGAGAAUGAAACAAUAUUCCUUUGAGUAGGAAAGAUAUUAUUCUAGUGAUGAAUACAAUUGUAUAAUCCCGUUUACUCGUGAAAUUUUACUUUUCUACUUAUAAUAGAUCCGAGUCGAAGAGAGAGAUGCUUUGCUCCUCACUAUUUUUGCUGGCUUGGAAAAAUAGCAUGUUUGGAAACUGUGUUGGUGUAGCAGAAUAUUUUGAAGGCUCCUAAUGGCUAAUUAUUAAAAGAUAGAGCUUUGAUCCAAAGACUUUGUCAUUCCUUAUCCUUUGGAAAAAUAUGGAAACGUCUUUUGGCGGGGGAUGAUCCUUCUUCCCAGACUUAAUUAGCCUGUAGCCACUAAGGAAUCCAGGUGCAAUACAAAGUUUCCCUAUUCCUCGGAUGAACUUAUACUUAAACAGUAUAGUCAAAUUUCCUCCGUGAAGUGAAAAUGAAUCCCACUUGGUAGACUUGUUUGGAAUGGUUGCGAGAGUCUUCCCUUCCUUAUCUAAGAAUUCAUUGGUAUAAAUUAUAAUAAUAAUGAAUAACUAUCUUACAACUUACAAAUACCGCAAUAUUGCAAUUUGUAAAGAUUAUUAAAAUACAGUGGAGUCAGACAACAGUUGACGUAAUCUUAAAUGAUACUAGCGGCCUUUAGAAAUCCAGCCUGAUAUUAUACCAAGCCACAACGAUUCACACCCCUGAUGGGUAAUGUAUAUUUUUUAGCUUGCUCGUGCCCUAUUGAUUGAAUUUUUUUCUCUGGAAUAUUAAUUUAAUAUAUAUUCACGCAACA